rnacentral:miRNA from 2 species
GUGCUUUCUCCCGUUGUCACU